rnacentral:rRNA from 1 species
AUUGAACGCUGGCGGCAUGCCUUACACAUGCAAGUCGAACGGCAGCGGACCGUUCGGGUGCCGGCGAGGUGGCGAACGGGUGAGUAAUAUAUCGGAACGUACCUUCAGGUGGGGGAUAACGUAGCGAAAGUUACGCUAAUACCGCAUAUUCUGUGAGCAGGAAAGCAGGGGAUCGCAAGACCUUGCGCUGAUUGAGCGGCCGAUAUCAGAUUAGCUAGUUGGUGAGGUAAAGGCUCACCAAGGCGACGAUCUGUAGCGGGUCUGAGAGGAUGAUCCGCCACACUGGAACUGAGACACGGUCCAGACUCCUACGGGAGGCAGCAGUGGGGAAUUUUGGACAAUGGGCGCAAGCCUGAUCCAGCCAUGCCGCAUGAGUGAAGAAGGCCUUCGGGUUGUAAAGCUCUUUCGGCCGGGAAGAAAUCGCACGGGUUAAUACCCUGUGUGGAUGACGGUACCGGAAUAAGAAGCACCGGCUAACUACGUG